rnacentral:lncRNA from 1 species
UCCUUAUAUGGGAUGUUUUAGAUAUGAUGAAGUGUGCAUAGAGAUUAUGAAUGAUCAAUAAGAGAUCAGUUACUCCUAAUAAGGAGAGUGGACAUCCUAUGUGAACUCAUAGGUCGAUGAUUUAGAAGUCUUUGGCCAAAGUAGGAUGAUAAUUAGAAAAGAGUUUCUAAUGUAUCAUCAACUGAAUCAUCAUCUUUAGAUCGAGAUACGUGAAGAUAAGUGAUUGAAUUUGACAUAUUUUCAUAUCCACAGC